GCUAGUAAUCGCGGAUCAGCAUGCCGCGGUGAAUACGUUCCCGGGCCUUGUACACACCGCCCGUCACACCAUGGGAGUCGGUAACACCCGAAGCCUGUAGUCUAACCGCAAGGAGGACGCAGUCGAAGGUGGGAUUGAUGACUGGGGUGAAGUCGUAACAAGGUAGC
rnacentral:rRNA from 1 species